rnacentral:misc_RNA from 1 species
ACCGAGUUGAAGUGCCUGCGUGGUGUCCACACAGAUUGUCUGAUGAUAAGAAAGAGUCAAAAGCGUCUUGCGAAGCUGACAAGUGAUGUCCCCUUCGUCUAGAGGCCCAGGACACCGCCCUUUCACGGCGGUAACAGGGGUUCGAAUCCCCUAGGGGACGCCAAUAUGACUGACGGUGGGUGAAAGGCACGGUCAACGCUAACCUAAAACUGAUUAGAGAUAGUCAGGUUUAUGUUAUCUGCUCUUUAACAAUCCGGAACAAGCUGAAUAAUUUGAAACGACGGCAUGCAAGCGUGAGUUUGUGUGCUGGUCGAGUCUC